GGUGGCUCAGAGGUAGAGUACUUGUCUUGCAAGCAUGAGGCCCUGGGUUCAAUUCCUCAGCACCA
rnacentral:tRNA from 1 species